rnacentral:rRNA from 1 species
GAUGAACGCUGGCGGCGUGCCUAAUACAUGCAAGUCGAGCGAACAGACGAGGAGCUUGCUCCUCUGACGUUAGCGGCGGACGGGUGAGUAACACGUGGAUCACCUACCUAUAAGACUGGGAUAACUUCGGGAAACCGGAGCUAAUACCGGAUAAUAUAUUGAACCGCAUGGUUCAAUAGUGAAAGACGGUUUUGCUGUCACUUAUAGAUGGAUCCGCGCCGCAUUAGCUAGUUGGUAAGGUAACGGCUUACCAAGGCAACGAUGCGUAGCCGACCUGAGAGGGUGAUCGGCCACACUGGAACGGAGACACGGUCAAGACUCCUACGGGAGGCAGCAGUAGGGAAUCUUCCGCAAUGGGCGAAAGCCUUACGGAGCAACGCCGCGUGAGUGAUGAAGGUCUUCGGAUCGUAAAACUCUGUUAUUAGGGAAGAACAAAUGUGUAAGUAACUAUGCACGUCUUGACGGUACCUAAUCAGAAAGCCACGGCUAACUACGUG